UUGCCCUCGUUGCUUAAAUCCUUAAGGUCUAAUUUAGAAAUAUAAAAGAUUGAAUUACGAAGAAUUUGAUAAAGUUAGAUUUUAAAAUUGGAAUCUAAUUUUUUUAGUCAUACAAUGAAAGAGGAUGAACAUGACAGUCCUCAGGGACUAUUUGGUCACAAAUAUUAAAAGCAAAAAUAGUGGUGGAAAUUCAGGUUAUUAUGGUGAUCCACACAUUUCCAUUUGCCACAGCCUCUACUCUGCAUAUCAGAUAAGCAACACCAAAAGAGUACAAUACAAACAACAUUCCAAAGCCCGAAGUGGAGAGAAAAAAACCAUGGUGACCCUUUCUCUGCCUAUGCGUCAAGCCCUUACCUUCCCCUCCUUUCCCAUUUACUCUGCAAUUUCUUCAAACAGGAGGAAUCGGGUAGCUAUAUUUUCGUGUGCUAAUGGUGAUGAUGGGCAGCGGCAUAGGAACCUCCGGCGGAGAAGGAAGGUGGUGGAACACCUAUGUCUGCUCAAAGCAAACAAGUAUUUAUCCUAUGAUCAAGAGAAGGAUAUGCUGGAUUAUCUUUACACAUCUCAAUAUCAGAUGCGUGGAAUUGUUGCAGUGUCUUUGGGCCAAAUAUCUGGUCAAACUAAAGAAGAUUAUACUCAUGCUGUCUUCAUGCGUUUCCAAAGUAAGGAAGACCUUACAAAAUUCUAUGAGAACCCUUUCUACCUGCAAGUUCUGAAGGAGCAUGUAGUGCCUAACUGCCAUAGUUCAAGGUUGGAUGCAUCAUUGCAGGGACUAAUGAAUGUGGAUUAUGAAUCUGAAGUGGAAGACGAUAUACUUCCUAUAUUUCGUAAAGGAGAGGACUUCAACUAUGGUGUAGAGUUUGUGCUUCUGAUUGCAUUUGUUGAGGCUGCAAUCAGUGGACCAGCAGAAGAUGCAUUGACAUCUCUUCAAGAGCUCACUAUGGAAUUUCCAUGCUUAAUUGUCCAAUGCACUCAAGGUUCAAACUUCAAUUUUAGCAGUGAGGAUUAUACACAUGGAGUUGUGAUACGGUUUCGAUCUCGUGAGGCCUUUGAGAUAUUUUUUACCAGCUCAGGAUACAGAGAUGUAAGAAGCCUCAUGCUGUGGAUUUGACAAAUUUAUAUGAUAAUUAUACCUUUGUCUUCUUCUUCAUGUGGUUUCCAUGAGUAUGUUUGCACCCUUUCUACUUGGGGCUUGAGUAUUUCAGAUAUUCUUAGAAAUGGUGCAAGUUGCUGAAAAACUCUGUUUCUCUCUUGAUAUGUAGGCUAUAGUUAUUUUCAGCUUCUACUGAUAUCAUUUGGUGUGGAAAUCUAAAUUCCAACCGAUAGCCAGGAAAACACUAGCCAUUCAUUUUUCUGUUGAUCCCGUGGGCACUGAGAUAAUGUAGUAAGAAUCCAUUACUUUUACUUUUUGCAUUCCUGAUGAUGCAAUUAGACAUAUGCGUGAGAAUUAAAUAGAACGGUUGCGAAGGUUUGUAACACAUCCCAACUUCUUUCUCCCUUCUCUCCUUACCUAACUAAACUGCUGUUCAUUUUGUUUCUUCUUUCUCCCUGCCUUUAGUAUAUCUUGAGUUGUAUCUUGGGUGGGUGGUUGUCUUUUUCGGAUCCCUUGGGUUCGAGGUGUGACUUUAGCUGGGUUUUUUCCUUUUGUUGGGAAUUUUGUCAUCAGAUCUCUUUAAUAAAAUUGCUUUUUGCUUUGCAAAAAAUAUAUAUUUUACUACCACAAUAUUAUGAAAAUAUGCUUGUGGUUCACCUGUACUCUUUUAAAUAGACCAAUUGGUAGUUGAUUAAUGAUAUUAGUCAGGUUUUACCAGUUCUUUAGUAAAUUGAGCUCCCACCCAAAAUUGCCACGGAUUUUGUAUCAUUUGAUGACUGGUAUAGUCCAAGAUCUUUCCCGUGCACAUUCUUAUUCUACUAUUUUCUUCCAUUAGAUUAAAUGACUCAGUUAGAUAUGAGCUCCAACACAAUACUUGUCUAAAGUUAAUUUGGUUAGAGACGAUAGGGUAACAAGGACUUUCUUUGCAGGGUAUUCUUGGAGAAAUGAUGCAAGUUUCAACCAAUAUUGCUUAAAGGGUAUUAUUCAUGGUGACAAACCUCAAGAAAUAUUGCUUCAAGGGUACAAGACUUUAAUUUCACUAUGACAUUUUUAUGUAUUCUCGUAAUUGCAGGUGCAAAAAGUUAAUUUAUGUUAUCGUUGUCCUUAACUAAACGAUUUCCUUUUGUUUCAUGAAUUGGUUGAUGGGGCAUUCGUUUAUCU